rnacentral:miRNA from 1 species
UGGGGGUGCAGGUGGGGGGCU